GACGAACGCUGGCGGCGUGCUUAACACAUGCAAGUCGAACGGAAAGGCCCCUUCGGGGGUCCUCGAGUGGCGAACAGGUGUGUAACACGUGAGUAACCUGCCCUUGACUUCGGGAUAACUUCAGGAAACUGGGGCUAAUACCGGAUAGGAAUCCUUGCUGCAUGGUGGGGGUUGGAAAGCUUCGGCGGUUUUGGAUGGACUCGCGGCUUAUCAGCUUGUUGGUGGGGUAGUGGCUUACCAAGGCUUUGACGGGUAGCCGGCCUGAGAGGGCGACCGGCCACAUUGGGACUGAGAUACGGCCCAGACUCCUACGGGAGGCAGCAGUGGGGAAUAUUGCACAAUGGGCGGAAGCCUGAUGCAGCAACGCCGCGUGCGGGAUGACGGCCUUCGGGUUGUAAACCGCUUUCAGCAGGGGCGAAGCUUGUGGUGACGGUACCUGCAGAAGAAGCACCGGCUAACUACGUG
rnacentral:rRNA from 1 species